rnacentral:rRNA from 1 species
GGAAUCUUCCACAAUGGGCGAAAGCCUGAUGGAACAACGCCGCGUGUGUGAUGAAGGCUUUCGGGUCGUAAAGCACUGUUGUAUGGGAAGAACAGCUAGAAUAGGAAAUGAUUUUAGUUUGACGGUACCAUACCAGAAAGGGACGGCUAAAUACGUGCCAC